GACGAACGCUAGCUACAGGCUUAACACAUGCAAGUCGCGGGGCAGCAUGGGGGUUGCUUGCAAUCCCCGAUGGCGACCGGCGCACGGGUGAGUAACGCGUAUCCAACCUGCCCUUCACCACGGGAUAACCCGGCGAAAGUCGGACUAAUACCGUAUGUUGUCCAUUGACGGCAUCCGAUUUGGACGAAAGGUUUGGCGGUGAAGGAUGGGGAUGCGUCCGAUUAGCUGGACGGCGGGGUGACGGCCCACCGUGGCGACGAUCGGUAGGGGUUCUGAGAGGAAGGUCCCCCACACUGGAACUGAGACACGGUCCAGACUCCUACGGGAGGCAGCAGUGAGGAAUAUUGGUCAAUGGGCGUAAGCCUGAACCAGCCAAGUAGCGUGCAGGAUGACGGCCCUAUGGGUUGUAAACUGCUUUUAUGCGGGGAUAAAGUGGCCCACGUGUGGGUUUUUGCAGGUACCGCAUGAAUAAGGACCGGCUAAUUCCGUG
rnacentral:rRNA from 1 species